rnacentral:rRNA from 1 species
GGUCAAGCGAAUAAGCGCACACGGUGGAUGCCUUGGCGGUCAGAGGCGAUGAAGGACGUGGCAGCCUGCGAAAAGUAUCGGGGAGCUGGCAACAAGCUUUGAUCCGGUAAUGUCCGAAUGGGGAAACCCACCCGCUUGCGGGUAUCCUGCAGUGAAUACAUAGCUGCUGGAAGCGAACCUGGUGAACUGAAAUAUCUAAGUAACCAGAGGAAAAGAAAUCAACCGAGAUUCCGUAAGUAGCGACGAGCGAACGCGGACUAGCCCUUAAGCUGGAUUGGUUCUAGGAAAACACUCUGGAAAGAGUGGCCAUAGAAGGUGAUAGCCCUGUAUCUGAAAGGGCCAUUCCAGUGAAGACGAGUAGGGCGGGGCACGUGAAACCCUGUCUGAACAUGGGGGGACCAUCCUCCAAGGCUAAAUACUACUGACCGACC